rnacentral:rRNA from 1 species
AUUGAACGCUGGCGGCAGGCCUAACACAUGCAAGUCGAGCGGUAGAGAGAAGCUUGCUUCUCUUGAGAGCGGCGGACGGGUGAGUAAUGCCUAGGAAUCUGCCUGGUAGUGGGGGAUAACGUUCGGAAACGGACGCUAAUACCGCAUACGUCCUACGGGAGAAAGCAGGGGACCUUCGGGCCUUGCGCUAUCAGCUGAGCCUAGGUCGGAUUAGCUAGUUGGUGGGGUAAUGGCUCACCAAGGCGACGAUCCGUAACUGGUCUGAGAGGAUGAUCAGUCACACUGGAACUGAGACACGGUCCAGACUCCUACGGGAGGCAGCAGUGGGGAAUAUUGGACAAUGGGCGAAAGCCUGAUCCAGCCAUGCCGCGUGUGUGAAGAAGGUCUUCGGAUUGUAAAGCACUUUAAGUUGGGAGGAAGGGUUGUAGAUUAAUACUCUGCAAUUUUGACGUUACCGACAGAAUAAGCACCGGCUAACUCUGUG